GAUGAAGACGUAGCGAAAUGCGAUAAGUAAUGUGAAUUGCAGAAUUCAGUGAAUCAUCGAAUCUUUGAACGCACAUUGCGCCCGCCAGUAUUCUGGCGGGCAUGCCUGUUCGAGCGUCAUUUCAACCAUCAAGCCCCCGGCUUGUGUUGGGGACCUGCGGCUGCCGCAGGCCCUGAAAACCAGUGGCGGGCUCGCUAGUCACUCCGAGCGUAGUAAUACAUCUCGCUCAGGGCGUGCUGCGGGUUCCGGCCGUUAAAAAGCCUUAUUUACCCAAGGUUGACCUCGGAUCAGGUAGGAAGACCCGCUGAACUUAAGCAUAUCAAUAAGCGGAGGA
rnacentral:misc_RNA from 1 species